CCAAGACUAUGAUGAUUGCAUUUUUGGUGGUUUUCUUCUUUGUUAUCUCACAGGGUUAGUUUCUCUUUCUCUCUAUCAUAUCUAAGUAUUGUACAACCGCUUCAAAUUAUUUGUCUGUUUUUUUUUUUUUUUUUUUUUUUUUUUGUUUUUUAAAAAAAUUAUUAUAGAACUUUUGUCUAUUUAAAUCUUAUUUAUAUCUUAAAACAUGAUCUCUCUUACUGUUUACUUAUCUAUGUGUCAUUUUUAUAUAAUUGAGAUGUUCUUAAUUUUCCAGAGCAUUGAUGAUGUCAUGUAAAUCACGAAAAGCAUAUAAAGUAUAUGACUAACUCAAUAACGAAAGUUUCGUAAAGAAAUAGAAGCAUGCUAUUAUGAGAUAAAAGAUAUUUUCUCUGAAGCGAUUCAGUUCUGAACACUCUUAUAUGAGCAUUGAUGAUGUCAUGUGAAUCACUAAGAGCAUAUAAAGUAUAUGGCUAACCCAAUAAUGAAAGUUUCGUACAGGAAUUGAAGCAUACUACUAUGAGAUAAAAGAUUUUUUUCUGAAGAGAUUCGAUUCUGAACACCCUUAUAUGUUCAAAAAUUACUAUCAAGGAUAAAUGGAAAAUAAUUAAUUCUGUCUUAAAUUUCAAAAAUGAUCAAUUUUAGAAAUCAUGACAGAUAAUUUGAUAGAUAGUUUUGUAACUAAACCUCUUAUUAGAAUUGUAUACUGAAAAUGCUAACGAGUUUUGUAAUUCUCAGAUGUAGUGAUAAGUGAGACAACAUGUAGUAGUACAUCAGAAUGUGCUCAAAUUACAUGUCAUACCGGAUUUCCAAGGUGUUUACGUGGGAUAUGCAAAUGUCAUCCUGAAGGUAUCUCUCCCGUUUGAUUGUGGAACAAGUUAAUUUAGAAAUAAUUAUCGAGAGGUUAAAUAUUUCAGGAUUGUUAUCUCACUCACAAUAUGGGAUAUUACAACUUCGGGACAGUUAAUUUUGAGAUAAUUAUUUUCGAGAUAAAUUACUCCAUAAUUUUAUUUCAACCAAACAUGAGAUAAACUUAUCCUCAACUUAAUCUCGACAUUGAUUAUAUUCCUCAUCCCUCGUACCAAAUAAGCCCUUAAUCGUUUGAUUAAAAAGGUUAAAAUAGAUUUUCUUUCACGAACAACUUUCAUUCUAAGUUCUAACAACAUGCUGAAUCUAGGAUCGACUAUAAUAGCAAGUGUGGUCACACCUAAUAUAGCUUUCAAUUAUACCAUAUAUGUGUAGAUAUUAAUUUAGACUAUAAACCCUUUCAAAAUUAUGUCCCCUCAAGAUGCACUCCGCCCCUCCCAUUCAAUUACAAUGCCAUAUGUAAAUUUGAUAAAAUUUGUUUGAUUGUAGAAAUUUUCAUUUUUCUCAAAAGUUUUUGACAAAAAACUCAAGAUCCCAAUAAACUUAAAGAAAAAAAAAGAAUUUGGGCUCAAAAUCUAGUUUGAGUUCUUUUAGAAAUUUGAAACUCACCUCAAACUUUUAUAUUGUAUAAAAUGAACGCAAUAGUUAUUACUCCAACUAUAAUUGAGAAGAAGCGAAGUUGAGCAAACUGCUUUCUAGUUGAUGGCUCUUUCUUGUGACUUUGUUUAUACUCAAAAAGAAUUCACUAUUGUAAUAUAGAGCCUGUGAUAUUUGCACCUUUUUCGUUGGUUGAUGAGUAAGAUAAUUGUAAAUUGUGUUAUUAGUAAGAUAAUUUUUGGAUCAUGUAGUAUGUAGUUCAUUAUAAAAUGAUAAUUUUGCGUUAAAUUUAUAGGUAUUUUUUUUUAUAGUUUUUAGUACUUAUGGGUAUAAAUCACAUUUCAUUUUUUUUUUUAAAGUGAGAUAAGUUUCCCAAAAUUUAUAAUCAAACACAUAUUGAAACUUCACUCCAUAUGCCAAAAAUAUUUGUAAAUUUAUGAUCAAAUGCUAGCAUAGACUGUGUGCUUGUAUAACUAAGUUCUCUCAAUAUUAUGCCUUGUCAAGAUGCUAACGAGUUUUGUAAUCCUCAGAUGGGCUGGCUAGUGUUAAAAUAAUUUCAUGUAAUAAUAGUUCUUCAUUUUAUUCACAUUUUCACAAUUGCAAAUAAACUUAUGGCAAGUAAUUGGUGGACUAUGUAUUAUAAAAUGUCACAAUAAGAAGCACACUCUAAAGUCAAAAAAAGAAAACUUUUCUAUACUCAAAACAUAGCUAAAGCUCCAACAAUUUUGUUUCUUUUAGCCACUUUAUUGGUCUUUUUAUGUGGUUAGUCUGUCUCCCUCUUACUCUGUCACUCACAAACACACGUACAUAUAAUAUUUGAAUCAUAAAUUUAUAAAAUCAAAAAAGGUUUUAAUUAAACUGUGAUUUAUUAGAAAUUUUAUUUAUAAAAAUGAUGGAUCUGAAUUAUCACAAUAUUAAGUGCCAAUUCACAAUAUUAAGCGUCUUACGCUCACUAUUUUCCAUUCAAACCAUUAAAGUGAAAUUUUCUAUUAUAAUGUAUAUAAAUUAUUAAUUGCUGCUGUUUUAAAAAUACUAAAUAUAGGUUUUUCUCAAUCAUAAUAUCACUUUAAAUUUUUCACGAACUAGCAUAUAGAUGCUAAUGCUUUUUUUAUUCAUCAGGUAUUGUGAAGGAACAAAAGUGUACUUUGGACACAGAUUGUCCGCAAUGCAGAUCUGGAAUUCGAGAAUGUUACAAGGGUGUAUGUAAUUGUUGUUUUGGUUCAUCA
rnacentral:lncRNA from 1 species